rnacentral:pre_miRNA from 7 species
AGUUGAGAGUGAAAGACCCCCGAAGGUAGACCCUCACUCAAGCCUCGGGACAGCUGCGGACCCAAGAAGACACUGAGACCG